GGGCCUUUAACUCAGUCGGUUAGAGUAGCUGACUCAUAAUCAGCAGGUCACAGGUUCGAACCCUGUAAGGCCCACCA
rnacentral:tRNA from 1 species